rnacentral:lncRNA from 1 species
UUCAAUGACCAAUGACUCGGUAGUCAUAAUCCUUCGGCAAAUCGAAAACAAAAAAACAAAAAAUCCUGCUAAGCGAACACCCCAAAGAGGUGACUUAGGCAAAAAUUAGGACAAUCCCGGUGGACUAAAAGCGUCAAAAGUGGUCCAAGCAAAAAUUAGGGAUGGAAGAGCAAAAAAAAGUCAAAUAAAAGAGGUCGCUAAAUCCUCAGAAAAAAACAAAAU